CGGACUGAGCGACAGGCAUUGAGGCAGCCAGCGCAGAGGCGGCUUUAAAGAAGGAGAUGCUGCUUGAGGAGUCCGCAGAUAAGUUUUUCUAUCAUAAAAGAUAGGAAUUAGUGUAUUUCUUUAGGGAUUGUAAGUAGUGAGAAUACGGAGAUAUUGCUUUGCAUUAAGUCCAUAAGUUUUAGGGAAAACAUGAAGACUUUAAAGAGUAGUUGGAGAAAGGAAGAGGGAAGAAAAAAGAAUCUUAGAACCUGAUGGAGGUUAAGAGCUGAAAUUUUUUCAUGGAGUGAAAAAUUUUUAAGAGAAUGACUGAGGUAGGACUGCAAAGUUUGGAUUUUUUUUUUUUUUAAAAAGCCUUAAGUUGAAGGGCAACCUUUUACCUUAACAUUAAAACGUUGGGUUACGUAAAUCGAACCUAAACGUUUUUAAAGGUUGAGUUGUAGAUGAUUAAAAUAUUAUAAAGGCCAUCUUAAGAUUUAACUGAAGGUGGUUUCAGAAAUAAUGCCUUCAAAUUCACGGCGCAGUAAAAAUGGCGUCAUGAAGCCUUCUUGAUCUUAAGGCUUUGUUUGGCUAAAGUUGACGGAAAUAUUAGGAAUGGUAGGAAAGAAAAUUGGAAAGUUGAAGUGGAAAAUGAGGAAGACAGAAGUACAGGAAGGUGAAAAGAAAACUAGAGAAGAUAGAGAUACACGUUUUAGAAGACAAAACCUGAGCCUAGGAAGUAGGCAGAAGAAAAAGACAAAUCUAGGAGAAAAUUGAAAAUACGGGCGAGUGCUUAAGAUAGAAUGAAAAGCAAGCUAUUGGACGCAGACAUACAAGAUAGACGUCCAAAAAUUUAGAAGAUAAUUCAAAGUCAAUAAUGUUGGAUAAAUUACAGGAACAAAAACUAAGAGAAAUUUUUAUACCAUUAAUAAUCUAUUGUAAAAGCCCAUCAACUUAAUUCUGGUGGUGCAGAAGUUAGAUCUCAGAAGAUGAGGGUUUUUUAAAACUACUGUAGACCAGGACCAACUUAGAAGAAUAUCCGGAAACUAGAAGGAAAGGCAGUUUAAAAUCUCAGCAAAAAGUUAAUAAAAGGGACUGAAGUAACUUAAAAGCUAAGAAUGUGUUUGGAAGAGUUAAAAAUUUGAAAGGCCUUAAAUGCGGUAGCGUAGUUUCUUUUGGCAAAUCUAAAGGACUUUAUAAGUGAAUUAAACUGAAGAGCAAGAAUAACCAUCGAGUUAUUGGACUUUGAGCUAAGAUGAAUGUUUAAAUCCUGAGGACUAGGCGCUAAUUAACAGCUGACGCAGGUGCUACACAGAAGUGGAUUCAGUGAAGCUAGGAAGACAGGAGCGGCAGACAGGAUUCCAGGAGCCAGUGUUCGGUGAAAUCUAGGACUGAGGAGCCAGCGGCAGUUCGUGAAGAUAGGAAAGAGAAGCCGGAGCCAGUGCGUCUUGGUGAAGGAAGCUAGGAAGAAGGAGCGAGCCCUAACGAUUUGGAGGUGAAGCUAGGAGAGGAUUCCAGGAAGGAGGAAGCCAGUGCGGUGUGGUGAUGAAGCUAGCGUGCGGCGCAGCUUGGCUUGGCAACCACGCGGAGGCGGCGAGCAGGCUGAAUGGAGGAUAGAUAGAGGAUCCUAGAGCAGCAGCCCAGUGUGCGAGCCCUGCAGGGAGAGCCAGUGGUGUGGUAAAAACCGUGAGGUCGGCACUAUCAUGGGUUUUUUUUUUUCUCCUGUAACUCUGGUAAUAUCUCAAAUUUCCUAAUAGUAAUGGGGGAGUUGUGUACUUAAGCGUAAAGGGUUUUAUUACGGGGAUAUAGGCCGGUUUUCGGGUGUCGUAGGUUUCUCUUUUUCAGGCCUAUUUUCUCAUGCAUCUUGUCUGGAGCUUUUGAGGGCAGACUUCAAGGCCCGGAGGAAUGGUAGAUGGCAAGUGUUUUUGUUUUUAACCAAUGAGGGAUAUCCUGAAUUUGAUAGAACAACUGUGAGACAACUUCAGCAAGCUUUGUAAACAGGUUUUAUAUUCAGUUUGGGGGUAAUGAAGCAUUUCAGUUUUGUGAGUAGAGGGUCUACUUUUCUUUCCUCAUCCUGUAUUUUGAGUUUUCUAAAUAUGUAGUUUCGGUAUAUAAUUCUUGGCGGGGGGAAGUUUUUUGGGGGGGGCAGCAAAAUAUGUUUUGAGUUCUUUUCCCUUUAGGUCUGUCUAGAAUUCCAAAGGCAAAUGACUCAAGGUAACAGGCGAAAAGAAAAUCCAGUAUCAGGAUAAUCAGAACACCGCAGGUUUACAGUUUAUAGAAACUCUAGCACAAGCAGCUUUCACUUUGAGGUCUGUGGCGCAGCUGUCCAUUGGAGAAGUGGCUGGUAGUUUAUUCUUUUUUUCCCACCCCUUAAUUAAAUAUUUUUAAAGUACAUAACUGGUUAUUUUUACUGAAGUAUUUUGGGGUGGUGUGAACAGGGAAGAGGGUGGGGGAGAAACUGUUUUUUUCUAAGAUUUUCCACAGAUUCUAUAGUACUAUUGACAAACUGAGUUAGAGAAGGAUUGUACUGCUACGCUGUUUGGCACCAACACCUUCAGGGAUUGGAGCAGCUUUUUUCCUUGGAAGAGUAUUCCCAGUGAACCUGAAAUGUACAGCACAGUGCAGCUUUGGUUCAUAUUCAGUCAACUCAGGAGAACUUCAGAAGAGCUUGACUAGGCCAAAUGUUGAAGUUAAGUUUUCAAAUAACGACUUUUAAGAUACCUUUAUUAAAGGGGAGGGGCAAAUUUUGGCAAUUUGUAGUUGGCAGCGGCUUGUGAUGAUUGGAGGGGGGGGGGGGGUUUAGGUAAUUGUUUAGUUUUUGAUUACAGAUGAACAUGCCAGAGAACUUAAAUACUUAAGAUGGAAAAACUAAAGAAAUCUCAACUUCCAAGUUGGCAAGUAACUCGCAAUCCUCUGGUUCCGUUUUGCCCCAGUUUUUAAGUUUAACAGAUGGGGAAGUUCAUGAAGAUUCACUCCAUUUUAAGAGUAGGGUUUGGGAAAGGAAAAUGACUGGGGGUUGGUCUGGCCCUCUGCGCUGACUUAGGUAAAAACUUGGGGAAUUUUUUUUAAAUGGUAAAGUUGUUUGGAUAUAGUAGUGUGUGGUUCUCUCUUGGAAUUUUUUUCAGGUGAUUUAAUAAAACUUAAUACUACUAUAGGAGCUUCAGAGCAAAGGAAGUGGCUUAAUGAUCCUGAAGGGAUUUCUUCUGAUGGUAGCUUUUGUAUUAUCAAGUAAGAUUCUUUUUUCGGCUGUAUAUAAGCAAGAUUGUUCGGUUUAUUUUUCUUUUUUAGCAUAGGAAAAGUUUGUUAAGAUAUGCUUCAAAAUUAUUGUAAAUUGUAUUUUGAAUUUACAUCUAAGUAUUGUAAAUCAUAACUGAUAAGGGGGUGGGCUUUUGUUGAUGAGGGAGGGGAAACCUUUUUUUUCUGUAGACUUUUUUCAGAUAACAUCUUCUGAGUCAUAACCAGCCUGGCAAUCUGAUGGCCUAGAUGGAGAGGGGAACAGCUCCUUGGUGAAUGAUAAGUAAAGGCAGAAAAGAUUGUAUUUCAUACCUACAUUGGGGAAAAAGCAUAACCCUGAGAUCCUUACUACUGAUGAACACAUUGUCUGCACAUGCAAAAAAAAAAAAAAGCAAAUGAAAAACUACCAAUUUAAAGUUAAUGGAAUCUACUAUAAAGUUAUGGCUUAUCAAGCUGUAUCCACAAAAAUAAUGAAUUGAUGAAAAAAUAAUGAUGAAAAAUAAUGAUAAAGUGAAGAUCAAAUGUCCAUCUCAAUACUGCUUUUACAAAAGCAGAAUUAAAAAAGCGAAAUGAAAUGAAAAUAGUGCUACAUAUUAAUCCUGGAAAAAAAGAAGCUGAAAUAAGUCAAAGAGUGGGAUCAAGUGAAUUGAGAGGAGGAAGAGGCUGUGCUGUUUGCCAAUCUUUCGUUUGCCUCAGACAGGUUUUUCUUCAUUAUCAGAAGAGUUGCUUCAUUUCAUCUGGGAGCAGAAAACAGCAGGCAGCUGUUAACAGAUAAGUUUAACUUGCAUCUGCAGUAUUGCAUGUUAGGAAUAAGUGCUUACCUUUGUGAAGAGCUGUGGAAGUCCUAGGUUCCUUACCUAAGGGAUUCCAGGAUUGUGAGGCAUCGUCCCAUCCAGCCUUUUAAAAUUAGACAGGACACCGUUCCUGUGGGCUUCAAUGAUGGGACAGCACAUUUCACUCAAGAGGCAAGUAAUUCCUUAAAGCCUCUUGAGAUUAGCAAAGAUAAUGUUUAUAAAACUAAGAACAUUUGUUUAGCCUUGAAUCGGACAACCCUAUUUAAGGGAUAGUAUUGUACUGCUAAGAAUUCAGAUUUUGUUAAUCUUGCUAAAAUUUAAAUGUUAUGUGUAUUGUGCAGAAAACCAUUAAAUCAUUCAAAAUAAAAUACUUUUAUUUUUAGAGAAUGUAUGUUUUUAGGAAGCUGUCUCCUUAUUUAAAUAAAACAUUGUUUGUCUGUAGUUAGUGUUGGGGCAAUCUGGGGGGUUUCUUCUCAUCUUUCAGAAACUUUGUCUGCGAACACUCUUUAAUGGACAAGAUCAGGAAAUUGAGCAGAAGAACGAAUUUAACUUAAGGCAGGAAAAAAUUUUGUCCUUCGUAAAAGUGAUGAGCAUUUAAUAAUUCCAGGCACAUGGCAAUAGAGGCCCUCUAAAUAAGGAAUAAAUACCUCUUAGACAGGUGGGAGAUUAUGAUCAGAAGAACAGGUAAUUUAACACCUACAAUGUUUACAGAAAGUCAGGAGUCUGUCUAGUGGUUAAACUAGAGCAAUGGAAUAUACUGUCCAGAUACGCAGUUUGCAUGUUAACUUUACUUACAGUCAUCUCAUCUGGUGUUAGCCAGUGUUCACACUAUUGGCCUUUUUAGAUACCUGGUGGAGGGAGGGUUGGGGUUUUUGUUUUUUUUUUUUUUUAAAGAAUUUUCCUUUGCAGAGGCUUCAUUUCAUCCUUCGUGAAGCUUUUCAGGAUUUUGACUUGCAUAUAUACGCUUGGCUCUGCCUUCUGUUCUCCUAGGGAGUGUGUCAGACCUUGCAACUACACAGAAUGCAGUUGUCUUGACCUCAGGUCUGUCUGUUCUGUUCGCAAGUAAUACAGUACUGUUCUGAUCCGCUGCUAUUAGAAUGCACUGUGAAACGACUGGAGUAUGAGUCAAAGUUGUGUUUCCCCCAAUGCUUGGAGUAGUGAUUGUUAAAGGAAAAUCCAGCUGAGUGAUAAAAGGCUGAGUGUGAGGAAAUUUCUUCAGCUUUUAAAGCAUUCAUGUUUGUGAUUGGAGCAGAGUCCCUUUUGCUGUGCUUUUUUUUAGGUAAAAUGCAUUUUGUUCACUUCUGGUAAGGGGGUGGGGAGGGCACUGAAGCCUUUAGUCUUUUCCAGAUGCAACUUUAAAAUCAGUGACAAGAAAUAAUUCCACACGAGCAGCAGUCUUCAGGAAAUUUCACUGGCAAGUGGAAAUGUUUACCAACAGUUCAGUGGUCUUAGUGCAUUUGUCUUUGUUCGGGUGUUUCUCUCUCCUCCCCUGGUCUUAAUUUUAUAUACAGGAACAUUCAAAACAACAGACGUAUGCGAAAGGCCAGAGAAGCCAGACCCAGUAAGGAAAAAUAGCUUAUUUACUUUUAAAAUCAUAAACCAAACAUUGCAUUUUAAAUGUGGGGAUUGGGAACCACUAGUUCUUUCAGAUGGUAUUCUUCAGACUAUAGAAGGAGCUUCCAGUUGAUUUCACCAGUGGACAAAAUGAGGACAACAGGUGAACAAGCUUUUUCUAUAUCUACAUACCAAGUCAGAUCUGUUAUGAGUAAACAAUUUAGUGUUAAAUGACCUUUCAGCUUUACGCUGGAGUCAACAGCAUGAGCAAGUUGUUUGUUGGCCUGGGGGUGGAGGGGUGAGGUGGGCGCUAAGCCUUUUUUUUAAGAUUUUUCAGGUACCCCUCACUAAAGGCACCAAAGGCUUAAAGUAGGACAACCAUGGAGCCUUCCUGUGGCAAGAGAGACAACAAAGCGCUAUUAACUAAGGUCAAUCAAAAUGGUGUCGGCCUCAACCCCAUCUUCUGUUAGAAAUGAGGACUUGACUCAGCCCCCUUGGCAGACAAUGCAUUGAACCUCUUUCUUUGGGGGAGCGAGCAUUCAAAGGAAUGCUUGAGUGCCUUGUAUAUAUAUCCCUGUGCUUGUCCUAAUAUUUAGCUGUUUUCAUAGCAGCUCUUAAUGAAGCCGAACCUCAAGUGAUGCUUGAAGGGGAGGGAAAGGGGGAAAGCGGGCAACCACUUUUCCCUAGCUUUUCCAGAAGCCUGUUAAAAAGCAAGGUCUCCCCACAAGUGACUUCUCUGCCACAUCGCCACCCUGUGCCUUUGGCCUAGCGCAGACCCUUCACCCCUCACCUCGAUGCUGCUGGUAGCUUGGAUCCUUGUGGGCAUGAUCCAAAAUCGCUUUUAAGGUAAUUGGUGCCAAGGUCUUCCGGUGGGUUGCAUUACUAGAAAAGACCAUUAAUUUACCUGCGAACAGGUAAUGAUAUUUAGACCACAACUAAAAAGCUCUUAAAGUGUUUUAAAUGUGUGGCAUUAUUAUCCAAUGACUUUAAAAAAACAUUUCAACCAGUAAGUGGAGAAACAGCAUCUAAGUAGAACUGUCAUAUUGGGUGGGAGAGUACACUUACAAACUGAAAGGUACUUUGGCAGUUGAGAGGGCUAUUGGGUGGGAUUGCAAAAAUUCUCUGCUAAGACUUUUUCAGGUGAACAUAGCAGACUUGACCAAGCUAGCAUCUUAGCUGAAGCAGAUUCUCCAGUGCUCUUCAGUAGGGCUAUUUAUAAAGGUUUUUCUUUUCCUGAGAAAACAAAAUCUUUUUUGUUUUCUCAGGUUUUGCUUUUUUGCCUUUUCUUAUCUUAAAAAAAAAAGCAAAAGAUGCUGGUGGUUGGCACUCCUGGUUUCCAGGACGGGGUUCAAAUCCCUGUGGCAUCUUUGCUUGACUUUAACUUUUACUCUCCAGACUCUUUACUUUUUCCUCAUCUUUCAGGUGCUAGGCCCUAGAGUUAGGGGAGGUGGAAGAUAAUAGCGUCAAACUCUGCCUUUGUGUUUACAUGGGAAUGUAAUGUAAUUUUGCCUGUAAUUUGCAGGUAUUCCUCAUGCAAUUCGUGUUUGGAGAAGUCUAUUUUGAAAACUUGAUUAUACAUAUUAAUAAAAAUUGAAAAAACUUC